AGCGAACGCUGGCGGCAGGCCUAACACAUGCAAGUCGAACGAAGUCUUCGGACUUAGCGGCGGACGGGUGAGUAACACGUGGGAACGUACCUUUUGGUUCGGAACAACUCAGGGAAACUUGAGCUAAUACCGGAUGAGCCCUUAGGGGGAAAGAUUUAUCGCCGAAAGAGCGGCCCGCGUUAGAUUAGCUAGUUGGUGAGGUAAAGGCUCACCAAGGCUACGAUCUAUAGCUGGUCUGAGAGGAUGAUCAGCCACACUGGGACUGAGACACGGCCCAGACUCCUACGGGAGGCAGCAGUGGGGAAUCUUGCGCAAUGGGCGAAAGCCUGACGCAGCCAUGCCGCGUGAAUGAUGAAGGUCUUAGGAUUGUAAAAUUCUUUUACCAGGGACGAUAAUGACGGUACCUGGAGAAAAAGCCCCGGCUAACUUCGUGCCAGCAGCAGCCGCCGUAA
rnacentral:rRNA from 1 species